rnacentral:rRNA from 1 species
CGAAUGCGAUAAGUAAUGUGAAUUGCAGAAUUCAGUGAAUCAUCGAAUCUUUGAACGCACCUUGCGCCCCUUGGUAUUCCGAGGGGCAUGCCUGUUUGAGUGUCAUGUAAUUCUCAAUCCUCUUUUUUCUUAAUUGAAGAGGGGGCUUGGACUUGGAGGUUAAUAUAUAUACAUGCUGGUACUGUCUGUAUCGGCUCCUCUAAAAUGCAUUAGCUGGACUGUAGUUCGCAUUGUUUGGUGUAGUAAUAGUUUUCUAUCUAUAUUCACUACAGUGCUUACUUAGACUGUCUGCUUCUAAUAGUCUGCCUAUAUGUCGGACAGGUACUGUGUUACCUUAAACCAUUUGACUCCUUUGACCUCAAAUCAGGUACGGACUACCCGC